UUCUCCGCGUAACAGCUUUCUACAUCUCGAAAGCGGCUGACUUUGAAAUAGUUCGGUAUAGUUCUUGUCUUUUUAACCCAGUAAAAAUCAAAAGCGGAAAUUUUCGAUUGCGAAUACUUUGAUACAGUAGAGAUAUAGCAUAUUUGAAGGCUGAUCUAUUCCAACGCAUACGUUAAACUGGUACUUCCUGUCCAUCUGUCUAGAUGAAAUAACUUCAGUCAGGUGCCGGUCGCAUUCAGGGAGUCAUUUAACAUCACUUAAGAUCAAGUGUCUCCAAGCAAGUGAUAGCUUAUGACGAGUGUUGUGAUUGACUGAAGGAGGAAUUUUCCCGGGCCUAUUCCUAUUUGAAAAUCAUCCUCCACGAGAUUUUGAGGUUGAUCGUGAAAAGGACGCUUAAAUCUUUGAAAAGAUACUCAGAGGGAUUUUUAUAACAAGAGGCGGUCAUCUAAGCCAACUUCGUUCAAACUUAUUGGCCAGAAUCGCUGAAUCUGCUGUGGAAAUUGCUGCGUCGCUAAACCAUGCAGCGCAAACUUCAAACACCCCGAAUCUGAAUCAUAUUCAGGCAGGGAAUGACCCGGAAAAGCACCUCAUUCAGUCCAUCGUUGCACUCGUCAUUGGUCAUCAUUUGAAUGCAGGCACAUGAUCUCAAACGAUUUUCUACCGGCUCUUUGGAUUCGACCGGCAGCUCACUGAAGUUAUAUCCACCAGUCAGGUGAUCAGGAAAUACUAGUUAUCGUAUAUGUCGGAAUCGCCCAGGCUUUAAUUAUGCGAUAUAUCCACUGUAUCGAAGUGCUCGCAGUCGGGAAUAUCCGCAUUUAAUUGUUGCAGGAGCAAUGGAGUAGAAUUGUACCAAAAUAUCUCUAAGAUGGCUACUUUUAAGAUGUAGUAACCUGCUACACGGAGAGCCAAACUCGACUGACUCAGAAUUAAAAAAAAAUUUUAAAUAUAAAAUAAAAAAAAAUCAAUGUAUAAAUUCAAUCGGAUUAUGUAAAAGA